rnacentral:rRNA from 1 species
GACGAACCGUGCGAACGUUAUUCGGAAUCACUGGGCUUAAAGCGCGUGUAGGCGGGCCGGCACGUCGGACGUUGAAAUCCCCCUGCUCAACCGGGGAAGGGGCGCCGAUACGACCGGCCUGGAGGAACGUAGGGGGAGCUGGAACUUCCGGUGGAGCGGUGAAAUGCGUUGAGAUCGGAAGGAACGCCCGUGGCGAAAGCGAGCUCCUGGACGUUUUCUGACGCUGAGACGCGAAAG